GACGAACGCUGGCGGCGUGCUUAACACAUGCAAGUCGAACGGUGAAAGCGGGGCUUGCUCCGCUGGAUCAGUGGCGAACGGGUGAGUAACACGUGGGCAACCUGCCCCUCACUUCGGGAUAACUCCGGGAAACCGGGGCUAAUACCGGAUAUGACCUCCUCGGGCAUCCUUGGAGGUGGAAAGUUUUUCGGUGAGGGAUGGGCCCGCGGCCUAUCAGCUUGUUGGUGAGGUAGUGGCCCACCAAGGCGACGACGGGUAGCCGGCCUGAGAGGGCGACCGGCCACACUGGGACUGAGACACGGCCCAGACUCCUACGGGAGGCAGCAGGGGGGAAUAUUGCGCAAUGGGCGAAAGCCUGACGCAGCAACGCCGCGUGCGGGAUGACGGCCUUCGGGUUGUAAACCGCUUUCAGCAGGGAAGAAGCCGCAAGGUGACGGUACCUGCAGAAGAAGCACCGGCUAACUACGUGCCAGCCGCCGCAGUAA
rnacentral:rRNA from 1 species